rnacentral:rRNA from 1 species
AUGACCGCUUUACCAAUAGUUGAGACUCAAUCUGGAGACAUUUCCGCCUAUAUUCCUACUAAUGUAAUCUCCAUUACAGAUGGACAAAUAUUCUUAUCUGCGGAUCUAUUCAAUGCCGGAAUUCGACCCGCUAUUAAUGUGGGUAUUUCUGUUUCCAGAGUAGGAUCCGCGGCUCAAAUUAAAGCCAUGAAACAAGUAGCUAGCAAAUCAAAAUUGGAACUAGCUCAAUUCGCAGAGUUACAAGCUUUUGCACAAUUCGCCUCUGCUCUCGAUAAAACAAGUCAGAAUCAAUUGGCAAGGGGUCGACGAUUAAGGGAAUUGCUUAAACAAUCCCAAGCAAAUCCUCUCCCAGUGGAAGAGCAGAUAGCUACUAUUUAUAGCGGAACAAGAGGAUAUCUUGAUUUGUUAGAAAUUGAACAGGUAAAUAAAUUUCUGGAUGAGUUACGUAAACAUCUAAAAGAUACUAAACCUCAAUUCCAAGAAAUUAUAUCUUCUAGCAGGACAUUCACCGAGCAAGCGGAAAUCCUUUUGAAGGAAGCUAUUCAGGAACAGCUGGAACGGUUUUCUCUUCAGUAA